GGAGGAUAUGCAGAAGAAGCAAGGAAGGAGGAGAUACGUGGCAUGAGAGAGAGAUGGGGGAGUUAUGGGGGGAGUGCAGUGCAGCCGUGAAGGAGAAAGCAAUGUGUGCUAAAUGGUCCAUAAGCGUGGCUUGGCCUGGCCCUGCAAGCCCCUCUGGACCCCAUAUGGAGCUGCGCUACUACAGACACCACGUUGUAGUCCCCCGAUCCUGAUUGUGAAGCGGGGAGUGGAGGGGAACAUAAUUGCAUGCUUAAACGCCUGAGAAACGGACGUCCAGUUCUGCUGAGCUGGUGCUUUUUGUGUGGCCUCAUUGUUGGGACGUGCAGUCAUGCAGCUCUUUGAGUCCCUGUCGGUGCUCAUGUUGGGUUAGGGGUGGUUCAGAACAGUGGAAGAGGGGGAAAUGUUGUCUAGUGGCCAGAUAUUUC